CACGAAUAAUGUCGCGCCAAAUUAUGACAUUAUUUUUUUUAAGUUUCGUCCUAAGUGAAGCAAAGGCUCAUAUUGAAGAUUCACAUAAAAGAGAUUUGAUUAUUGCAUUAGAAAAAAAAUUGGAAAUUAAAUUCUUUGAAUACGCUAAUAAUAUUGUUGAAUGGUUGGAAAAUAUAAAUUAUAAGCAUUUAAAUAAUAGUGAUAUAGGUAAAAUGCUCGGCUAUAAUGAGAUCAAAAUGAAAGUGGACAAUAUUGGAACUGAAGCUCGAGGGAUGAAAAUGGUUACAAUGGCUCUAAUACCAAUAAUCUUUCAUCUCGGAAUUACAUCAGCAUGGAUAAUGCUGACAGCAUUUUUGGCGGCAAAAUCAGUUACAAUAGGACUGAUUCUUUUAGCUUUCAAAAUUGUUGUCAGCUCUGUCAAAAUAGCGUCAUUCAUCACAGCUUUGAAAGUUAAAAAAUAUCACAAUGAAUUCGGUUGGCCAGUUUAUCAUGACCACCACGGUGAGGCUCCGUUAUAUAU